rnacentral:rRNA from 1 species
CAUGCAAGUCGAACGGAAAGGCCCUUUCGGGGGUGCUCGAGUGGCGAACGGGUGAGUAACACGUGGGUGAUCUGCCCUGCACUUUGGGAUAAGCCUGGGAGACUGGGUCUAAUACCGGAUAGGACUACGCACUGCAUGGUGUGUGGUGGAAAGCUUUUGCGGUGUGGGAUGGGCCCGCGGCCUAUCAGCUUGUUGGUGGGGUGAUGGCCUACCAAGGCGACGACGGGUAGCCGGCCUGAGAGGGUGUCCGGCCACACUGGGACUGAGAUACGGCCCAGACUCCUACGGGAGGCAGCAGUGGGGAAUAUUGCACAAUGGGCGCAAGCCUGAUGCAGCGACGCCGCGUGAGGGAUGACGGCCUUCGGGUUGUAAACCUCUUUCAGCAUCGACGAAGCGCAAGUGACGGUAGAUGCAGAAGAAGCACCGGCCAACUACGUGCCAGCAGCCGCGGUAAUACGUAGGGUGCGAGCGUUGUCCGGAAUUACUGGGCGUAAAGAGCUCGUAGGUGGUUUGUCGCGUUGUUCGUGAAAACUCACA